AGUGCACAACACCGCCUGCACCGGGCAACCAGUUUACAUCGAUGCUGCAAGAAGUCAAAAUCAUUAUAAGGGUGCGGCAGAAAUCCAGCUGACUUGGAGUGCUAUUGGGCUGACCCAGCAAGAUAUAUGGGCUAAAUCGAAGCAGGGUCUCUGCAGAAUGGCCUUUAGCUCUUUUUCAUUGAAAACGGACUCCCACUGGCCUGCUUUUGGCUUUGCAAAUAUGUUCCUUUAUGUGCCUUGCCUCCCAUACAACCACACCACAAUACUAAUAAUAAAGACCCUGAAUGAAAAUCUCCACACUGGUCCAAUUUACAAACUCGCAAAGGAAUAUCUCAGUAUGAGUUUGGUUAUUGAGUUGCACAAGAUGAGGUCUGCUGCUGAUGCUUUAUUAUCUUCAGAAAAUAAUUUCUCAUGGCAAUGCUUGUUGGUUCAAAAUAAUAGCAUUAUGCCGCCCACCCACACAAAUACGAAGCUAAUCUGUCUGCAAGACAGAUGCGCCUUUUCUUUUGUGUAAGUGCAAAAACUGAGAUGCAGCUACUGUAUUGUUUUGAAUCCUGCAGCAGCAUGUAGGUAACAGAGCAAAAUUUGAUCAGUGGUUCUCUCUACUAAGAACACCCGGUGAGGGAACAAGCAUCACGCUAAGGGCCGGCACAGACCCCUGCCAGCAAGAGGGUGCAAAUCAAAGCAUUGGAGGUGUUUCAUCUCUUUGCUGGAGUCUCAGUUUUUCAUCCAGGGUUAAGACUGAAAGGAUGACUUAUGGCUCCUCACAUAUACAGCCACGAGGUGGGGAGCAUCAGGCAUUAGAAGUCCAUGACUCUGAUUACUACAAAACACUUGUUUUCACACUUUUUUCAAAACCUUUUUUUUUUUUUUAUAUUCCCACCAGGAGUGAUUCCAGCAACUGUCGGACAGGGUGGAAGCUCCCUUGGGUGCUGAAAGAGAAUGUAAAUAGUGGUGGUGGCAUAAUAGGAAAAUACUGAAUAGAAUUGAUUUAUUGACGUCUUUCGUCUGACAGGGCAGACUUUGUGAAUACAGAUUACCAUCAGUUGGAAGCAGGGCUUCUGUUAGAAUACCAAUUUCUCUCACCAGGCGUUUCUACCGUUUAUUUAGAACAUAUCGACCUUAUGUUGGAUGGCUCAACUAGUAGACAUGAAGAUUCCACCAUGAAAUCUAUGAUGGCUGACAGAUGAAAUGAGACCUACAUGGUAUUUAGAACUUUGACACACUUUGUAACUUCAUCUCUGACUGCUGCAGACUGAAGCGUUGUAAGGAAACAAACACAUCAUUUGCAGUAAAGCAUAAGCUUUUGUUUUCUAUUAGCCAAGCUUUCAAUGUUUACGCUUAAUUGCUUUUUUGUUUUAUCAAAGGCCCGCAAAA